rnacentral:rRNA from 1 species
UACGGAGGGUGCGAGCGUUGUCCGGAAUCAUUGGGCGUAAAGGGCGCGUAGGUGGCUGGACAAGCGUGCGGUGAAAGCUCGGGGCUCAACCCCGAGUCGGCCGUGCGAACUGUCUUGCUUGAGCACUGUAGAGGCAGGCGGAAUUCCGGGUGUAGCGGUGGAAUGCGUAGAGAUCCGGAAGAACACCGGUGGCGAAGGCGGGUCUCUGGGCCGAUACUGACGCUGAGGAGCGAAAGCGUGGGGAGCGAACAGG